AACGAACGCUGGCGGCAUGCCUAACACAUGCAAGUCGAACGAGAUCUUCGGGUCUAGUGGCGCACGGGUGCGUAACGCGUGGGAAUCUGCCCUUUGGUUCGGAAUAACAGUUGGAAACGACUGCUAAUACCGGAUGAUGACGAAAGUCCAAAGAUUUAUCGCCAGAGGAUGAGCCCGCGUAGGAUUAGCUAGUUGGUGUGGUAAAGGCGCACCAAGGCGACGAUCCUUAGCUGGUCUGAGAGGAUGAUCAGCCACACUGGGACUGAGACACGGCCCAGACUCCUACGGGAGGCAGCAGUGGGGAAUAUUGGACAAUGGGCGAAAGCCUGAUCCAGCAAUGCCGCGUGAGUGAUGAAGGCCUUAGGGUUGUAAAGCUCUUUUACCCGGGAUGAUAAUGACAGUACCGGGAGAAUAAGCUCCGGCUAACUCCGUGCCAGCAGCCGCCGCUG
rnacentral:rRNA from 1 species